rnacentral:rRNA from 1 species
CCUACGGGUGGCAGCAGUGAGGAAUAUUGGUCAAUGGGCGCGAGCCUGAACCAGCCAAGUAGCGUGAAGGAUGACUGCCCUACGGGUUGUAAACUUCUUUUAUAAAGGAAUAAAGUGAGGCACGUGUGCCUUUUUGUAUGUACUUUAUGAAUAAGGUUCGGCUAACUCCGUGCCAGCAGCCGGGGUAAUACGGAGGAUCCGACCGUUUUCCGGAUUGAGUGGGUUUAAGGGGAGCGUAGAUGGGUUGUUAAGUCAGUUGUGAAAGUUUGCGGCGAAACCGUAAAAUUGCAAUUGAUACUGGCAGCCUUGAGUACAGAUGAGGUAGGCGGAAUUCGUGGUGUAGCGGUGAAAUGCUUAGAUAUCACGAAGAACUCCGAUUGCGAAGGCAGCCUACUAAACUGCCACUGACAUUGAUGCUCGAAAGUGUGGGUAUCAAACAGGAUUAGAUACCCGGGUAGUC